rnacentral:tRNA from 1 species
UGAGAAAGAAGGUUCAUAAUGGAGCUGCUAACUUCGUUUUAAAGAGUUCAAUCUCUUUUUUCUUAU